CGGAUUUAUAUAAAUCCGAUCACCUUAGACCAACAACCAAAGAACAAAGAUGUUCCUAUCGGAUAUUACUCUAGGCUUUUCAACCCGAUAAAGCAAUAUUCGAUAGUUAGUUUGUCCCAGACAAGGACUAAUAUCAUAUGAGAACUCGUGAUUUAUAAACAUAUUUUUAUACAUUAUUUAUUUACUUUAAACAUUUUACAAAGUGUUAUAGUUUUAUCCUACGGCCUAUUGCCUAACAACGUUUUAAGUAAAUAUAUAUCAAAAGGUACGUUGCAAGGACAACAAAAUACUACCGCUGGU
rnacentral:lncRNA from 1 species